GCGCCCGUAGCUCAGAAGGAUAGAGCGGUGGUUUCCUAAACCGCAGGUCGCAGGUUCGAUUCCUGCCGGGCGCA
rnacentral:tRNA from 2 species